rnacentral:rRNA from 1 species
CCUACGGGUGGCAGCAGUCGAGAAUCAUUCACAAUGGGGGAAACCCUGAUGGUGCGACGCCGCGUGGGGGAAUGAAGGUCUUCGGAUUGUAAACCCCUGUCAUGUGGGAGCAAAUUAAAAAGAUCGUACCACACGAGGAAGAGACGGCUAACUCUGUGCCAGCAGCCGCGGUAAUACAGAGGUCUCAAGCGUUGUUCGGAAUCACUGGGCGUAAAGCGUGCGUAGGCUGUUUCGUAAGUCGUGUGUGAAAGGCGCGGGCUCAACCCGCGGACGGCACAUGAUACUGCGAGACUAGAGUAAUGGAGGGGGAACCGGAAUUCUCGGUGUAGCAGUGAAAUGCGUAGAUAUCGAGAGGAACACUCGGGGCGAAGGCGGGUUCCUGGACAGUAACUGACGCUGAGGCACGAAGGCCAGGGGAGCGAAAGGGAUUAGAUACCCCAGUAGUC